CCUACGGGAGGCAGCAGUGGGGAAUAUUGCACAAUGGGGGAAACCCUGAUGCAGCGACGCCGCGUGAGUGAAGAAGUAAUUCGUUAUGUAAAGCUCUAUCAGCAGGGAAGAAAAUGACGGUACCUGAGUAAGAAGCCCCGGCUAACUACGUGCCAGCAGCCGCGGUAAUACGUAGGGGGCAAGCGUUAUCCGGAUUUACUGGGUGUAAAGGGAGCGUAGACGGCAGUGCAAGUCUGGAGUGAAAGGCGGGGGCUCAACCCCCGGACUGCUGUGGAAACUGUACGGCUGGAGUGCAGGAGAGGUAAGUGGAAUGCCUGGUGUAGCGGUGAAAUGCGGAGAUAUGAGGCGGAACCCCGGUGGCGAAGGCGGCUUACUGGCCUGUAACUGACGUUGAGGCUCGAAAGCGUGGGGAGCAAACAGGAUUAGAUACCCUAGUAGUC
rnacentral:rRNA from 1 species